rnacentral:rRNA from 1 species
UACGAAGGGGGCUAGCGUUGCUCGGAAUUACUGGGCGUAAAGGGCGCGUAGGCGGACCAUUAAGUCGGGGGUGAAAUCCCAGGGCUCAACCCUGGAACUGCCUUCGAUACUGGUGGUCUGGAGUCCGGGAGAGGUGAGUGGAACUCCUAGUGUAGAGGUGAAAUUCGUAGAUAUUAGGAAGAACACCAGUGGCGAAGGCGGCUCACUGGCCCGGUACUGACGCUGAGGUACGAAAGCGUGGGGAGCAAACAGGG